UGGGUAACCUGCCCAAGAGAUCGGGAUAACACCUGGAAACAGAUGCUAAUACCGGAUAACAACAGAUGAUGCCUAUCAACUGUUUAAAAGAUGGUUCUGCUAUCACUCUUGGAUGGACCUGCGGUGCAUUAGCUAGUUGGUAGGGUAACGGCCUACCAAGGCGAUGAUGCAUAGCCGAGUUUAGAGACUGAUCGGCCACAUUGGGACUGAGACACGGCCCAAACUCCUACGGGAGGCAGCAGGG
rnacentral:rRNA from 1 species